rnacentral:rRNA from 1 species
CGGGGUGCAGCAGGCGCGAAAACUUUACAAUGCGGGAAACCGUGAUAAGGGGACACCGAGUGCCAGCAUCAUAUGCUGGCUGUCCAGGUGUGUAAAAUACACCUGUUAGCAAGGGCCGGGCAAGACCGGUGCCAGCCGCCGCGGUAACACCGGCGGCCCGAGUGGUGAUCGUGAUUAUUGGGUCUAAAGGGUCCGUAGCCGGUUUGGUCAGUCCUCCGGGAAAUCUGACGGCUUAACCGUUAGGCUUUCGGGGGAUACUGCCAGGCUUGGAACCGGGAGAGGUAAGAGGUACUACAGGGGUAGGAGUGAAAUCUUGUAAUCCCUGUGGGACCACCUGUGGCGAAGGCGUCUUACCAGAACGGGUUCGACGGUGAGGGACGAAAGCUGGGGGCACGAACCGGAUUAGAUACCCGGGUAGUCCCAGCCGUAAACGAUGCUCGCUAGGUGUCAGGCAUGGCGCGACCGUGUCUGGUGCCGCAGGGAAGCCGUGAAGCGAGCCACCUGGGAAGUACGGCCGCAAGGCUGAAACUUAAAGGAAUUGGCGGG